rnacentral:pre_miRNA from 1 species
CACAUACUCCCUCCGUCCCAAAAUUCGUGUCUUAGAUUUUUCUAGAUACGGAUGUAUCAAAUCACAUUUUAGUAUUAGAUACAUCCGUAUCUAGACAAAUGUAAGACAAGAAUUUUGGGAUGGAGGGAGUACUUU